CACCUCCCUGAAAUUCCUGCAAGGUCAGGCCGAUCUCAGGCUCUGACUCCUUUCACUAGCCUUUCUGGUGAUGUGAUCUUACCCAGCUUCCUGUUUGUCUUCCUGAGAGACAGUAGAUUUAGGGAGUGAGGAUCAGAGGGUGGAAAAUAAAAGCUGUGGUCCCCAGGAGUCCUGAACAUCUGGGGACAGCGGGAAAACAUGAGUGACUCCAAGGAACCAAGGGUGCAGCAGCUGGGCCUCCUGGAAGAAGAUCCAACAACCAGUGGCAUCAGACUUUUUCCAAGAGACUUUCAAUUCCAGCAGAUACAUGGCCACAAGAGCUCUACAGGGUGUCUUGGCCAUGGUCCCCUGGUGCUGCAACUCCUCUCCUUCACGCUCUUGGCUGGGGUCCUGGUGGCCAUCCUUGUCCAAGUGUCCAAGGUCCCCAGCUCCCUAAGUCAGGAACAAUCCGAGCAAGACACAAUCUACCAGAACCUGACCCAGCUUAAAGCUGCAGUGGGUGAGCUCUCAGAGAAAUCCAAGCUGCAGGAGAUCUACCAGGAGCUGACCCAGCUGAAGGCUGCAGUGGGUGAGUUGCCAGAGAAAUCCAAGCUGCAGGAGAUCUACCAGGAGCUGACCCAGCUGAAGGCUGCAGUGGGUGAGUUGCCAGAGAAAUCCAAGCUGCAGGAGAUCUACCAGGAGCUGACCCAGCUGAAGGCUGCAGUGGGUGAGUUGCCAGAGAAAUCCAAGCUGCAGGAGAUCUACCAGGAGCUGACCCAGCUGAAGGCUGCAGUGGGUGAGUUGCCAGAGAAAUCCAAGCUGCAGGAGAUCUACCAGGAGCUGACCCAGCUGAAGGCUGCAGUGGGUGAGUUGCCAGAGAAAUCCAAGCUGCAGGAGACCUACCAGGAGCUGACCCAGCUGAAGGCUGCAGUGGGUGAGUUGCCAGAGAAAUCCAAGCUGCAGGAGAUCUACCAGGAGCUGACCCAGCUGAAGGCUGCAGUGGGUGAGUUGCCAGAGAAAUCCGAGCUGCAGGAGAUCUACCAGGAGCUGACCCAGCUGAAGGCUGCACUUGGUAAAUUGCCAGACCAGUCCAAGCAGCAGCAAAUCUAUCAAGAACUGACCGAUUUGAAGACUGCAUUUGAACGCCUGUGCCGCCACUGUCCCAAGGACUGGACAUUCUUCCAAGGAAACUGUUACUUCAUGUCUAACUCCCAGCGGAACUGGCACAACUCCGUAACCGCCUGCCGGGAAGUGAGGGCCCAGCUCGUCGUAAUCAAAAGUGCUGAGGAGCAGAACUUCCUACAGCUGCAGACUUCCAGAAGUAACCGCUUCUCCUGGAUGGGACUUUCAGACCUAAAUCAGGAAGGCACGUGGCAAUGGGUGGACGGCUCACCUCUGUCACCCAGCUUCCAGCGAUACUGGAACAGUGGAGAACCCAACAAUAGUGGGAAUGAAGACUGUGCGGAAUUUAGUGGCAGUGGCUGGAACGACAAUCGAUGUGACAUUGACAAUUACUGGAUCUGCAAAAAGCCCGCAGUCUGCUUCAGAGACGAAUAGUUGCUUCCCUGCUGGCCUCGGCCUCCAUUGUGGUAUAGCAGAACUUCACCCACUUCUACACCCCGUGCACCCUUUUGACUGGAGACUUGCUGGUUGAAGGAGCUCAUCUUGCAGGUUGGAAGCACCAGGGAUUAAUUCCCCCAGUCAACCAAUGGCAUCCAGAGAGGGCAUGGAGGCUCCAUACAACCUCUUCCACCCCGACAUCUUUCUUUGUCCUAUACAUGUCUUCCAUUUGGCUGUUUCUGAGUUGUAGCCUUUAUAAUAAAGUGGUAAAUGUUGUAACUGCA